CCACACCCAGCCUAUUAUUUCUAAUACAGUUUUUUUUUUGUUUUUUUUUUUACUAUUCUUACUUCUACAAGUUAUUUACAAGAUGAAUCAAAAGAUAGAUGAUAGAUAAAUAGACAGAUACAGAUAGAUAAUUAAAAGCGUCCAUUGGACCUAAAUGGUAAAAGGUGAUUAUUUUUCCUGGUAUUCUGAGGGUUAAGGCCUCACAUGAUUCCUGUAACUCUACAAGUUACUUAUUAGUUGAGUAAACCUGAAAGAGAUUAAGAAUUCGGUGGCCUUUGUGAGGCACUGCCCCACCCUGCCCACCAGGCUCUGCCGCUCCAUGGCAACUCCAGCCAGCUCCUCCCUCCCCCUGCCACCAGCUGGUGAAGUCACCAGAACUGCCACCCUCGGGCAUUGUGGGGCAAUGAAGGUGGGUGGAGGGAAUGAGGCACCACAACAGUAUUUCCCUCUAGCAGCUCCUGGGACUGGGUUUUCUGGCAUUUCUAUCUCCCCCAAAUAUCUGUAACAGGCGGUGUUCAUAUCUCUAAAUCAGAGUUCUGGCUGCUGAGGUAGCAGGACUGAGACCGGGGCUGGACCCUGACUGAGACCCAGGAGCCAGCAGCCUCUAGCCACUCCAGUCACAGGCACAGCCCAGGGACCCACCGCCACGCCCUCCUGCAAGAUAAAGGAAGCAGCAACUCAGACAUCAGGGUGGACACACCCACCAAAACACAAGGAGAGGCCCUGAAAAGUAACUGGAAAGUCACAGACCGUUCUGGCAAGUGGAGUUGAUGAGAAACAGG
rnacentral:lncRNA from 1 species